rnacentral:rRNA from 1 species
AUUAAAACAAGCGGAAGGAACUCGGCAAACCUCAGCCCCGCCUGUUUACCAAAAACAUCGCCUCUUGCCUCAAUAAGAGGUCCCGCCUGCCCAGUGACCCAAUUCAACGGCCGCGGUAUCCUGACCGUGCGAAGGUAGCGUAAUCACUUGUUCUUUAAAUAAGGACUAGUAUGAACGGCACCACGAAGGCUGUACUGUCUCCCGCCUCUAAUCAGUGAACUUAAUCUCCCCGUGAAGAAGCGGGGAUAAAACCAUAAGACGAGAAGACCCCAUGGAGCUUAAAACAAAAGGCACCUGCUAACAACAAAGUUAAACGACUUGACCUGACGUUUUCGGUUGGGGCGACCACGGAGAACAACCCACCCUCCACGCUGAAAGAUGAUAAUCUUAGCCAAAACAACCUAUUUAAGCACCAGAAUCCUGACAUUCAUUGACCCAAUCUAAUUGAUCAACGAACCAAGUUACCCUGGGGAUAACAGCGCAAUCCACUUCAAGAGCCCCUAUCGACAAGUGGGUUUACGACCUCGAUGUUGGAUCAGGGUUCCCAA